GAUGAACGCUGGCGGCGUGCCUAAUACAUGCAAGUCGAGCGAACAGACGAGAAGCUUGCUUCUCUGACGUUAGCGGCGGACGGGUGAGUAACACGUGGAUAACCUACCUAUAAGACUGGGAUAACUUCGGGAAACCGGAGCUAAUACCGGAUAAUAUUUUGAACCGCAUGGUUCAAAAGUGAAAGACGGUCUUGCUGUCACUUAUCGAUGGAUCCGCGCUGCAUUAGCUAGUUGGUAAGGUAACGGCUUACCAAGGCAACGAUGCAUAGCCGACCUGAGAGGGUGAUCGGCCACACUGGAACUGAGACACGGUCCAGACUCCUACGGGAGGCAGCAGUAGGGAAUCUUCCGCAAUGGGCGAAAGCCUGACGGAGCAACGCCGCGUGAGUGAUGAAGGUCUUCGGAUCGUAAAACUCUGUUAUUAGGGAAGAACAAAUGUGUAAGUAACUGUGCACAUCUUGACGGUACCUAAUCAGAAAGCCACGGCUAACUACGUG
rnacentral:rRNA from 1 species